rnacentral:rRNA from 1 species
UACGGAGGGUGCGAGCGUUGUCCGGAAUCACUGGGCGUAAAGGGCGCGUAGGUGGCUACUCAAGCGCGCGGUGAAAGCCCGGGGCUCAACCCCGGGGUCGGCCGUGCGGACUGGGAGGCUCGAGCACUGUAGGGGCGGGUGGAAUUCCGGGUGUAGCGGUGGAAUGCGUAGAGAUCCGGAAGAACACCCGUGGCGAAGGCGGCUCUCUGGGACGGUACUGACGCUGAGACGCGAAAGCGUGGGGAGCAAACAGG